rnacentral:snRNA from 1 species
GGACUUUGAAAAGAGAGUCAA